rnacentral:SRP_RNA from 1 species
CGCAGGGUCCCGCUCGAUCACGAUCUCCGUGAACUCCGUCAGAUCCGGAAGGAAGCAGCGGUAACGGGGCCUCGGUUGCGAGCGGAUCACCCUGCGAUC